UAGGAUAUAGUUUAAAAACUUAAAACAUUAAUUUUCGGGGUUAAAGAUCCAGGAUUGGGUGUCCUAU
rnacentral:tRNA from 1 species